UGGGGAAUAUUGCACAAUGGGCGCAAGCCUGAUGCAGCAACGCCGCGUGAACGAUGAAGGUCUUCGGAUCGUAAAGUUCUGUUGCAGGGGAAGAUAAUGACGGUACCCUGUGAGGAAGCCCCGGCUAACUACGUGCCAGCAGCCGCGGUAAUACGUAGGGGGCUAGCGUUAUCCGGAUUUACUGGGCGUAAAGGGUGCGUAGGUGGUCUUUCAAGUCGGUGGUUAAAGGCUACGGCUAAACCGUAGUUAGCCUCCGAAACUGGAAGAGUGGAGUGCGGGAGAGGAAAGUGGAAUUCCCAGUGUAGCGGUGAAAUGCGUAGAUAUUGGGAGGAAAAACAGUAGCGAAGGCGGCUUUCUGGACGGCAACUGACAAUGAGGCACGAAAGCGUGGGUAGCAAACAGG
rnacentral:rRNA from 1 species